rfam:Phycicoccus sp. Soil748 contig_6, whole genome shotgun sequence.
UGAGUCGGCCAGGCGGUCGCGUCGGUGGGCAACCACCGCCGAGGAACGUCCGGGCUCCACAGGGCAGGGUGGUGGCCAACAGCCACCCGGGGUGACCCGCGGGACAGUGCCACAGAGAACAGACCGCCACGGUGGACCACGCAGCCCUCGGGCCGCGCAGGCACCGUGGUAAGGGUGAAACGGUGGUGUAAGAGACCACCAGCGGGCCAGGUGACUGGCCCGGCUAGGUAAACCCCACCCGGAGCAAGCUCAGACAGUGUGCGUUCGAGGGCGGCCCGCCCGAGCACACGGGUAGAGCGCUGGAGGCAGUCGGCAACGGCUGUCGUAGAUGGAUGACCGUCACCGGGAGCCGGGCAACCAGCUCCCGGGACAGAACCCGGCGUAUCGGUCGACUCAUCCC